rnacentral:rRNA from 1 species
CCCUGCCAUUUGUACACACCGCCCGUCGCUACUACCGAUUGAAUGGCUUAGUGAGACCUCCGGAUUGGCGUCUUUUUGCGGGCAACUGCGAUUGGAUGCUGAAAAGCUGGUCAAACUUGGUCAUUUAGAGGAAGUAAAAGUCGUAACAAG